UCUCCAAUCGUCUAACGGCAGGACAUGGGACCUUGAAUCCCAUGACGAAGGUUCGAAUCCUUCUUGGAGAGCCA
rnacentral:tRNA from 1 species